CAUCACUCAUCAUUACAUGAUGUUAUAAUUGGAGUAAUAGAUACAGGUGCCUCUUGACAUUAUUGUUGAAGAAUUAUUAACCUAUUCUUGGAUUUUUACUUGAUAUCUUCAAGAUUUUUCACAUUGCAGAAGCAGAAUGGUUAAUAAUUUGGCAUCUGAAUGGUUGCUCAUGUUUCCAAUUUUUUCCAUAUCUGCCUUUCAAAUUAUCAAAAACCAGAAAAUGGGAAGUAAUAAUUUCUUGCAGAUUUAACAUUAUUGUUGUUGCUUUAUUCUAGGCAU
rnacentral:misc_RNA from 1 species